GGCUCUGUAGCGCAAUGGACAGCGCGCCGGACUUCUAAUCCGGAGGUUGUGGGUUCGAAUCCCACCUGAGUCA